AUGCCCGCAACUAGGAUUUUGCAGCCUCACAACCACGAGGGUGUACUCCCUCGUCAGCUCAACGGACGGAUCUCCGGACAGCCCUUUGGGAAGCCUCAGGACAGUCCCUCAUAUAGUCCCACCGGACAGAUCCACGGACAGCCCUUCGAGAGGCCUGACGAAGGUCCCUCAGAUAGUCCCAUCGGAUGGAUCCUCAGACGGCCCUUCGGGAUGCACACUCAGACUAAUAAUGAAACUACGACCUCUCUACCAAGUUGCACACAUACGGUGUCAGUUAUCCGGAAGGGCUUCACCGUCUAG
rnacentral:rRNA from 1 species